rnacentral:rRNA from 1 species
UACGUAGGGGGCAAGCGUUAUCCGGAUUUACUGGGUGUAAAGGGAGCGUAGACGGCCAGACAAGUCUAAAGUGAAAAUCCAGCGCUUAACGUUGGAAGUGCUUUGGAAACUGCCGGGCUAGAGUGCAGGAGGGGCAGGCGGAAUUCCUAGUGUAGCGGUGAGAUGCGUAGAUAUUAGGAGGAACACCAGUGGCGAAGGCGGCCUGCUGGACUGCAACUGACGUUGAGGCUCGAAGGCGUGGGGAGCAAACAGG